GGAAAUCCCGAAAGCAAAAUGAGCAAGAGCUGACGAGAGAUCCAUCACCACAAAGCAUGCGUGGAAGCAGCAGCCUCCUACUCAGUGUGACACAUAGCGUGAGGUGUGUUGCUGGUAAUAAAUCAAGUACGGAUAUGACACUGUUUUUAGAAAUUAGAACCUGUUCAAAAUGUUCCCUCUAAAUGCCUGGGUGGCUCAGUAGGUCGAGCGUCCGACUUCAGCUCAGGUCAUGAUCUGGCACUCCAUGAGUUCGAGCCCCGUGUGGGGCUCUGCGCUCACAGCUCAGAGCCUGGAGCCUGCUUCUGAUUCUGUGUCUCCUUCUCUCUCUGCCCCUCCCCGGCUCGUGCUCUGUCUCUGUCUCUCAAAAAUAAAUAAACAUUAAAUUCUUUUUUUAAUUUUGCCUAUAAUAACGUUAUUCCCACUCACCUCAUUUCAGAUCUACUUUCUUGAAUGACAGAAAAAGGUGAGGAAUUACAGAUAGCAUUCCAGAAAUUACACAUAGCGUAGUCUAUCUUAUCUGUGAGGAAGCUUAUAGUGAAGGAUUUUUUAUAGUAGCAUUAAUAGUUGUGCAGUUGUGAACUAUUGAAAUACCUGUGAGUUGCAAUUUUUAUAGUUGCUUCUGUUUAUUUUUUGUUUUAUCCAGGAAUGAAUUUGAUUAAGAAGGUGAGAUUUUUUUUUUUAAGCACAAAUAUCAGCAGAACACAUGAACAAGAGUGACCCUACACUUUUGGUUAACAAUGACAGAAGAACCACAGUAUCAGAUUUGUCCAAUUCUGAAAAUAUUGUGUUAUGCUUGUAAACUGCCAAGAAAAAACGUAGGAAAAAUGAGCACUCUUCUCUGCCCUGAAGCCAACCUCAAUCCUUCUCCAACGCUCUGUCCUCUUAGGAAAGCUUUAGGUUGGCCAAGAACAAGAUUUUCCCUUAACAACAAAUCAGGCUGUUGCUAGGUGAUUGUGACAUAGGAAGAGUAACCUCCAAUCACAGAGCAGCCCCAAAAGUGUGAUUGUGGCAUAUCAAUAUAAAUAGGAGAGCUCUCCCCGGCUCUUAGGCCCUUCUCCUCUCCACUCGUAACUGA
rnacentral:lncRNA from 1 species